GAAGAUUUCAUCUUCGUCAACCGUCGCAGAAUCGCAAGCGUCCUCGGCGCCUCGGCCACGGCCGCUCCUAGUCACCGCGGCACGCGGGCGUGGCAGGCAGCCUGCUAUUGCGCGAUGUGGCCGUGCCGACGACCCGGCCAUCCGGCAUCAGGCGACAUCCUGCCAUCCUGCGCGACAGUGACUCGACAUCAGCGAGUUCGUCCAGUCUUUCAAUAAACCAUAAGACUCAGGGGCCCAUGUCAUCGAGUUCGCCCUAGGGCCUUCCAAAACAUAGGGCCGGCCUGCUAUCGGUACAUACCCUCAGCCACGAGGGUGAACACGAUGAAGAUGGCCUCCGGUGAUAGCUCCCCCCCCCCUCCGGCAGGGUGCCAGAACAGGUCUCCAGAUGAGAGCGCUUUAGAACGGAGGCUUGAAGUGGCAGUAGGACUCAUCUAGGCUAACUUUUAGGAGUUUUGGAAUAUAAAAGAACUAGAGUUGUGACCCGCGCAUUUGCGCGGCUAGAUUAUUUAUGUUUUCAUUCAUUUAUCUCUUCAUUUGUAGUAUAUUAGAUAUUUAGACUUGAUAUACCGAUUUCACAGUAUAUACCUUACAUAAAAUUUAUAUUUCUGAUUUAGUCUCACGUAUUACAGGAGCAAGAUUUCUAUACUUGUAUUUUUGGACUAUAUGGUUUGCCAUUAAGA